rnacentral:rRNA from 1 species
AUGAACGCUGGCGGCGUGCCUAAUACCUGCCAGUCGAGCGAACGGACGAGAAGCUUGCUUCUCUGAUGUUAGCGGCGGACGGGUGAGUAACACGUGGAUAACCUACCUAUAAGACUGGGAUAACUUCGGGAAACCGGAGCUAAUACCGGAUAAUAUUUUGAACCGCAUGGUUCAAAAGUGAAAGACGGUCUUGCUGUCACUUAUAGAUGGAUCCGCGCUGCAUUAGCUAGUUGGUAAGGUAACGGCUUACCAAGGCAACGAUGCAUAGCCGACCUGAGAGGGUGAUCGGCCACACUGGAACUGAGACACGGUCCAGACUCCUACGGGAGGCAGCAGUAGGGAAUCUUCCGCAUUGGGCGAAAGCCUGACGGAGCAACGCCGCGUGAGUGAUGAAGGUCUUCGGAUCGUAAAACUCUGUUAUUAGGGAAGAACAUAUGUGUAAGUAACUGUGCACAUCUUGACGGUACCUAAUCAGAAAGCCACGGCUAACUACGUG